UUGAAACACCAGUUCUCGUACGAUCACCGAAGUUAAGCAACGUUGAGCCUGGUCAGUAGCUAGAUGAGUGACCGCUUGGGAAUAUCAGGUGCU
rnacentral:rRNA from 1 species